GAUGAACGCUGGCGGCGUGCCUAAUACAUGCAAGUCGAGCGAACAGAUGAGGAGCUUGCUCCUCUGACGUUAGCGGCGGACGGGUGAGUAACACGUGGAUAACCUACCUAUAAGACUGGGAUAACUUCGGGAAACCGGAGCUAAUACCGGAUAAUAUAUUGAACCGCAUGGUUCAAUAGUGAAAGACGGUUUUGCUGUCACUUAUAGAUGGAUCCGCGCCGCAUUAGCUAGUUGGUAAGGUAACGGCUUACCAAGGCAACGAUGCGUAGACGACCUGAGAGGGUGAUCGGCCACACUGGAACUGAGACACGGUCCAGACGCCUGCGGGAGGCAGCAGUAGGGAAUCUUCCGCAAUGGGCGAAAGCCUGACGGAGCAACGCCGCGUGAGUGAUGAAGGUCUUCGGAUCGUAAAACUCUGUUAUUAGGGAAGAACAAAUGUGUAAGUAACUAUGCACGUCUUGACGGUACCUAAUCAGAAAGCCACGGCUAACUACGUG
rnacentral:rRNA from 1 species